GCAGACAUUAACGCUCAAUACACAGUGGUAGAAUACAACGUUGCCAUCGUUGUGACCCGAGUUCGAUUCUCGGAUGAUGCA